ACACACACAUUCACACACACACACGCACACACACGAUUUUACUCGUCUGUAAAUUACUGUCUUCAAAAAGAUCUAAACUAGUGUAAAUACAUUUUUUAUUAAUAUACAUUAUAUAUGAAUAGUCAAACCCAUGAUUUGUGUGUGUGUGUGUGUGUCUGUGUGUGUGUGUGUGUGU
rnacentral:miRNA from 14 species